rnacentral:rRNA from 1 species
ACACCGGCGGCCCGAGUGGUGAUCGUGAUUAUUGGGUCUAAAGGGUCCGUAGCCGGUUUGGUCAGUCCUCCGGGAAAUCUGAUAGCUCAACUAUUAGGCUUUCGGGGGAUACUGCCAGACUUGGAACCGGGAGAGGUAAGAGGUACUACAGGGGUAGGAGUGAAAUCUUGUAAUCCCUGUGGGACCACCUGUGGCGAAGGCGUCUUACCAGAACGGUUUCGACGGUGAGGGACGAAAGCUGGGGGCACGAACCGGAUUAGAUACCCGGGUGGUCCCAGCCGUAAACGAUGCUCGCUAGGUGUCAGGCAUGGCGCGACCGUGUCUGGUGCCGCAGGGAAGCCGUGAAGCGAGCCACCUGGGAAGUACGGCCGCAAGGCUGAAACUUAAAGGAAUUGGCGGGG